AUUGAACGCUGGCGGCAUGCUUUACACAUGCAAGUCGAACGGUAACAGGCCUUCGGGUGCUGACGAGUGGCGAACGGGUGAGUAAUGCAUCGGAACGUGCCCAGAGGCGGGGGAUAACGCAGCGAAAGCUGUGCUAAUACCGCAUGUGAUCUGAGGAUGAAAGCGGGGGACCAGGCAGCAAUGUUUGGCCUCGCGCCUUUGGAGCGGCCGAUGUCAGAGUAGGUAGUUGGUGGGGUAAAGGCCUACCAAGCCGACGAUCUGUAGCUGGUCUGAGAGGACGACCAGCCACACUGGGACUGAGACACGGCCCAGACUCCUACGGGAGGCAGCAGUGGGGAAUUUUGGACAAUGGGCGCAAGCCUGAUCCAGCAAUGCCGCGUGCGGGAAGAAGGCCUUCGGGUUGUAAACCGCUUUUGUACGGAACGAAAAGGCUCUGGCUAAUACCUGGGGCUGAUGACGGUACCGUAAGAAUAAGCACCGGCUAACUACGUG
rnacentral:rRNA from 1 species